AUGCCUUUGUCUGCUGACCUAAAGAUUGUGUUAAGUCAGAAAAAUCUUCUUCUUAGAACAGAUAUUUAUAGAUUAAUUCAUCUUAACCUUAAGCCAGACCCAGCAUUUUUAAAACUCUUGGUGGAAAGGUGAUUUUAUACACCUUGAAUUAUUUUUCCUUAUCAGUUCUGAACCUGUGCUUGACCUCUGCACUCUGAGAAUGAUGGCAGAAAUGUAAUGGACUGAUCUCCAGUCAGAAUGUCUCCAUGGUCUCAUAAGCUGGGAAGCUGCCUGUGCCUUAUGUUGCUGUUGAGCCUUCACCAUCCGGACAGCAAAACUGGCUUCGGGUCAGAAAAACAAGUUUGGCCUCUUGUGAUUUCUGCAGCCCAGCUGAACAAGCCUGGAAUUUGUUGUAUAUGUGAGGGGAAUAUGAGUGAGUUCUCACAGCUAUCUUAUCACUUCUCCUUGUCAUUUCUGCUGUUUUGUCUUGCUGCUCCUCCUAAUCCACCUCGCAGUUGUGUGCAGUGAACAUGUGCAAAUACAUCCUGGAGCUCUCAAGGAAGGGAAGGAAUGCCAGGAGUGACCUUGCAUGGCAACGUGGGGAUGUUUUUGUAGGGACAGGUUUCAGCAAAUUGUUGCUGGCCUUGCCUGUGCCCUGAGCAACUUUGAAACAUGAAGUCAGAAGUGCCACAAACACAACCUAUCCCCUCCCCUCAGCUUCCACCCAAUACAGACUGUUUCUCCAAAAUUUAUCCCUUGGAGAAAAAAAAAAAUCUCUUAAAAAGUCCUUAUAUAUGUAUCCAGAGAUAGGUUAACUUGUGCUCUAAUAGAAUUUCUGCCUAAGUAACUGGACAAUAAUCUAAAUUGGUCCAAAAUACAACAGCAAAAUAGGGAGAGGAAACAAUGUACUUUUUUUUUUCCUUUUCCUCAGCGAAGGCUGCAAAACUCCAAGGUACUGAUAACAUUUAGCCUUCUCUUCAGUAAAUAUCUGUCCCCUGAGGACCCUAACAAUGGCUAAAACCCAGUUGUUCACUCCAGCAGAGUUCUAGAAAUAUCCUGCUGUUCUAAAAUUGUAACUGUGAAACAGGAUAAACAGGACAGCAAUGUCUCAUUAUAAAAAUUCCCUGUGAUGCCAUUUCUAAAUCAAGCUAGUAUGCAAGAAGUGUCCUGGAGCAGAAGAGAGGCUUUCCUGUUUUUCAUUCCCCUCUGAUACUGUCUGUGUGGGAGGCAGCUGUUGGAAGUCCUGCAGGAACUUGAGAAUUUGACUGAAAGCCAUAAAAUUGUACAAAUACAUUCAAAAGCUUUGUGCAGUUUCUGUUGGAAUCUGGGUUGCAAGUUUAUGGUGAGACCUGGAAACUUCAUCUGCCAAUUAUUUGAUGUGAAAGUUUUGCUAUGUAUUUUUUGGAACAUCUAAUUUGAAAUAUUAAAAUACAUCUGUAAAGAAGAGGUGUAAAUACUUCCCUGGAAUCAACUCCCAUGCAUGAGACUAAUUACAGAAAAGAAUUCUCUUCAACAUCUAUGUCUGCAU
rnacentral:lncRNA from 1 species